rnacentral:misc_RNA from 1 species
GAUGAAGAACGUAGCAAAAUGCGAUAAGUAAUGUGAAUUGCAGAAUUCAGUGAAUCAUCGAAUCUUUGAACGCACAUUGCGCCCGCCAGUAUUCUGGCGGACAUGCCUGUUCGAGCGUCAUUUCAACCCUCAAGCUCAGCUUGGUGUUGGGACUCGCGGUAACCCGCGUUCCCCAAAUCGAUUGGCGGUCACGUCGAGCUUCCAUAGCGUAGUAAUCAUACACCUCGUUACUGGUAAUCGUCGCGGCCACGCCGUAAAACCCCAACUUCUGAAUGUUGACCUCGGAUCAGGUAGGAAUACCCGCUGAACUUAAGCAUAUCAAUAAGCGGAGGA